AUUGAACGCUGGCGGCGUGCCUAACACAUGCAAGUCGAGCGGUAACAGGUGUAGCAAUACAUGCUGACGAGCGGCGGACGGGUGAGCAAUAUUUGGGAAUCUGCCUAUUAGUGGGGGACAACCCGGGGAAACUCGGGCUAAUACCGCAUACGCACUACGGUGGAAAGCCGGGGAUCGUAAGACCUGGCGCUAAUAGAUGAGCCCAAAUCGGAUUAGCUAGUUGGUGAGGUAACGGCUCACCAAGGCUACGAUCCGUAGCUGGUCUGAGAGGACGACCAGCCACACCGGAACUGAGACACGGUCCGGACUCCUACGGGAGGCAGCAGUGGGGAAUAUUGGACAAUGGGCGAAAGCCUGAUCCAGCGACGCCGCGUGGGUGAAGAAGGCCUGCGGGUUGUAAAGCCCUUUCGGUGGGGAAGAAAAGCCUCGUUCUAAUACAACGGGGUCUUGACGUAACCCAUAGAAGAAGCACCGGCUAACUCUGUGCCAGCAGCCGCGGUAAUACAGAGGGUGCGAGCGUUAAUCGGAAUUACUGGGCGUAAAGCGCGCGUAGGCGGCUUUGCAAGGUCGGGUGUGAAAUCCCCAAGGGCUUUAACC
rnacentral:rRNA from 1 species